AAUAAUAAUAAUAAUAAUAAAGAGAAAGGAAAAAGGAACCAACCAACAAGCUUUAUACCAUCAAUAACAAAAUGUUUUAAAUGCAAAUCAGAUCAAAAAUGUUAGAAAUAAUGCUAUCCAAAAAAAAUGCUAGAAAUAAUUAACAUCCAUUAUCUUUCAAAAGUAUAGUUAUAUCCUAUCUAACACAAAUUGUAUUUAUGAUUCUGAUCAUUAGGGAGUGCAAGUGUGUAUGCUAGGCAUAUGUAAAUAUAGGAAUAAAGAAAGAAAGAAGAAUACAACUUCAACUAUGAGGUAUCCUCCUAACUCACAGAAAACAUAAUACAAAAAUGUGUAAAAAU
rnacentral:misc_RNA from 1 species